rnacentral:rRNA from 1 species
UACGUAGGGUGCAAGCGUUUGUCCGGAAUUAUUGGGCGUAAAGGGCUCGUAGGCGGUUUGUCGCGUCGGGAGUGAAAACACUGGGCUUAACUCAGUGCUUGCUUCCGAUACGGGCAGACUAGAGGUAUGCAGGGGGAGAACGGAAUUCCUGGUGUAGCGGUGAAAUGCGCAGAUAUCAGGAGGAACACCGGUGGCGAAGGCGGUUCUCUGGGCAUUACCUGACGCUGAGGAGCGAAAGUGUGGGGGAGCAAACAGG